rnacentral:rRNA from 1 species
AUUGAACGCUGGCGGCAUGCCUUACACAUGCAAGUCGAACGGUGACGCGGGGCAACCUGGCGACGAGUGGCGAACGGGUGAGUAAUACAUCGGAACGUGCCCAGUAGUGGGGGAUAGCCCGGCGAAAGCCGGAUUAAUACCGCAUACGACCUAUGGGAGAAAGCGGGGGAUCGCAAGACCUCGCGCUAUUGGAGCGGCCGAUGUCAGGUUAGCUAGUUGGUGGGGUAAAGGCCUACCAAGGCGACGAUCUGUAGCUGGUCUGAGAGGACGACCAGCCACACUGGGACUGAGACACGGCCCAGACUCCUACGGGAGGCAGCAGUGGGGAAUUUUGGACAAUGGGGGCAACCCUGAUCCAGCCAUGCCGCGUGCGGGAAGGAGGCCUUCGGGUUGUAAACCGCUUUUGUCGGGGAAGAAACGGUCUGCGCUAAUACCGCGGACUAAUGACGGUACCCGAAGAAUAAGCACCGGCUAACUACGUGCCAGCCGCCGCAGUAACAC